rnacentral:lncRNA from 1 species
CUUCUUCCAGACGAGCAUGCCAACCGCCCAUUUCUCCAAUGCAUCCAUAGAAGCAUCGACACCAAAACAGAUAACGCCUGACCAAACACUGAACCGGCUAGCUACCUCACUCUAGAUGUCUCCUCUCGAAAUCUCCACACCCUUCCCCAUCCCACCAUCCCUCGUUGGAUCUGGUGAGCCAUGGUGAAUGGCGGCAUGCGGAUGGGGAAGCAACAACCUGCAUCGUCAUCGUGGGGACGAGAUCGAUUGGGCAGCGAGGCUGAGGAUGGGAAGAGAGCAGCGCGCAGGUGCGCCUUCUCGCAGGCGGACGAGGCCGGAGGAACUCGCGACGAGCCGGGAGGACAGGGAAAAGGAGGCAGUGAGGCGCAAGCUCGAGGCGUACAAGAUGGACAAACUCGUCAGUAUCGUUAUCAAGUACGACGUCUAGGUAAUAUGCCCGCCCCUCGCUCUAACAAUCCCUAGUGAAUUAGUUUGGCUCCUUCUGAGGUGAAGAAAUUUAUGGUCUCGCAGCAGAACAAGCGAUGGUGAUUUAAAGUUUGGCAUGUUUCGAAAUGACUGAUUUUUAACCGUAGAUAGUAACAAAAAGAAAUUUGAGACUACACCUCGGAAUUAGGAUAGCAAUUUCUUAUCUAGUAUUGCAGUGAUAAUUUCACAACAUUGGAUGCAAAUAUACAUAAACAAGAUAAUAAAUAAAAAUAUCCCACUUACAGUUUAUGGCAUCAUUAGGAAAAACAGAACCUCCUUUUUGUUAUAACAAAAAUGAACUUCGAUGCACUAGUGCUGCAGUACUAAUUUGACUUGACAGUACUGUCAUAUUCCACUACGGACAAUAUCAAUUUCAUUCAGACAUCCUCAAGUUAAGAAAUUUGAAUGGUUAAUUCAUUUCUAACUUAUACAUUUGAAGAGAUUUGGAAAUCAAGUCAUGGUUAGAUUCUCCAGUAGCUGUGAAUGCAUCAUUGACCCUGCGCCACAUGCCAUUGAAUAGCAGAAUUUCAGAGUUCAUCUUACCCCAAUGACAUUUGAUUUGGAUGCGUUGUCUUCUGCGAUUAUCAGCAAUAUUUGCGUUAAAUUCUUCAAUGACUUGAAACCAGUAAUCCUCGACACCGCUUUCAUUGCCAACAAAAACCAGUGGGAACAUUUAACCAAGCAUUUACCUGCUCAAUUUAUAAAAUAUUGUUAGGCCAACCUUUUCAUGAUAUAGUAACUAUUGAUUAUUAAACAAAUGAGUUAUGACGCAUAGAUUAUCCUCUUCGCUCCGUUGUAAGUGUAUGUCUUCAAUAUUGGCAUUGACGAUAACCAUUUGCUGGAACUAAAUUGGACUACUAUCAUGGGGGUGAAGUAUGUGCAACAAGUAGAGUAUUUGUAGGUUCAAGUAAAUGUUGAAUUAUUAAUUAUUACUAAUGCAUGCAUAAUUUAGUGGUCACUCUUGCUUUGACUGGCAGAGAACUUGUAUUAUAAAAUAGAAAAAUCUCAAAUUACAUGAUACAUUGGCAUUCUAGUAUCGAUGUAUGUAACAAAGUAAAGAAUUUUUUCUACAUAAUAAAGUAAAUGGGAAAGGUAAUUGAAGUGAUAUAUUAAAAAUGAAAAUAACAUUCUAAAAUGUUUCAUGAUUGUUUUAGUUUCCUUCAAAUAGUUGUCCACUAAAAAUAUUUAGUGCCCAUUGGUGUUCACUCUUUUCAUAUUCAUCCAUAUGAGAGGCAUCGACCAUUAUGAGUUCCUUGUUGUUACUAGACAUUUUGAUCAUCUCUCUUGUCUUGUCAAUCUCAAGCUUCUCUUUGGAGAGUCGAAGCUGCACCUCUGUCAUUUUUUCUUGCGUGGAUGCUCGUAAUGCUUUCAUGUGAUGGUAUAAUUGAACAUUUUUUGUGUGUAAGUGUUACAAAAGAGUUGUCAUCUUCGACUUUUCCUUUAUUUUUCCUUUCGCCCAUUUGGUUCCACCUGGGAGAGUUUCUUUUUCCAUCUGAGUUUGUAUGUUAGCAUUACCUUUGCCUUUUCCCUCCUUGCAGUGUCUAGUCUACUUCUGGUGGACUCUAACCUUCUCCCACCGGUACAAUAGUGUAAAUUUUUAUCCUAUCUCCUUGUAUCUGGCUAGUGUUUUCUGGACAAGCUGCAAGUCACAUUGACCACUCGGAUGGGCAUCUUUUAGCCUCCAAUAAACUCAAUGAAAAGCAACAACUUUCCUAUUAGUUUUACCCCAAUGGUCCUUGAAGUUUUUGUUGUUUCUCCUCCGGUGGACGAACUGUUUUUGUUGUAGUCAUCUGUUACAUUCUUCUAGUACACCUCUCCCUUUUUGUUAUUUCCAACAAUAGAGUCUAUGGACUUAUUAAACCAAGUACUUAUGUGCAAUAAAAAAAUUUAUAUUCCUAAAUGUUUCUUGAAUAAAAAUAUUGAACUUCUUAAAUAUGGAAAUAAUGGAGUUAUUCUACGAAGCGUUAAUGUGCAUGAAAAUUUAUUAUAUUUAUACAAGUUUGUUAAAAAUAUAUGUGUGUACAAAUUACUGGAAGGAAAAAAAUAUGUGUCUACUAGUUACUUGAAGGAAAAAAAUAAAAUGUUCUAAAUAUUAAAAUGAUGUAAUUACUUAAUCAACUGCCAAUGAGCGAUAGCAUUCAUUGUAUUUCUAUUUGUUCCUAAAAUAAAAAAUGUGGAAUAGAUGGAUUUUUUUCUAGUGAAGCAUUAACAUUAAUAAGAUUUUAUUACCAAUGGCUUUAUGAUAAAUAAAAGUUUAUUCCCACAUGUUUAAAAAACUAUAGCAAUAAAAAUACUUGAUGGCUACUCACCAGUUUAAUGUUGUCCUCCUUGUCCUCCUUGGUCGAAGCUAGACGCCGACCUCGGCUAUCUUCUUCAUUGUUGUCGUCUUGGUCACUGGUACCAUUGUGUUGAAUACUCAGAGCAUAACCAUAGUCGCAAUGUCCACUAGAAUCAAAUUGUUGGGACAUAUGUGGUUGGGAAGACAAAUUUAUUGGAUAAUUAGGAGGUGGAUACAUCUCUGGAUUUUCAUACUAGAAGCUAGCAAAAGCGAACCAGUCGUUCUGAAAGGGAUUCAUUGGAAAACCGUGAUGUGUAUGAACAAAAAAUUGUGUGAGAUAUGCAAGGAUUGUGUUGUGUAUGAGCAGAUAAUUUUGGGACAUGCAUACAACUGGAACAUGCAAGUAGGAAUAUAUAUAUAGCAAUAUAGUUUCGCUCCAUGCUUUAGUUAGUCCGAUUUAGCUGUGUAUGACCGAACGAAUGGUUGAAGUAACUUGACAUACCUUGUUUUUAACUUCGUACUCACCAUGCUUUAAGGUUUGAAGAUUGCGAUUUUCGUCCCUAUUGACCCAGCUUGGCAUUCACAUGCAUUUCAUUUUUAAACAUUCAUUUUUUAUCAAUUCAGGUUUUUAUAGAAUAUUGUUGUGCGUGAAGAGAAAAGAAACAAAUCAUUAUGUCUACCUGCGAAAGGAAAUCGGCUGAGUUGUUGAGUAAAGCUUGUCUAGUUCAGCGAUCAUCUGAGCACAGAUUGGAGCGGAGAGAGGUUGUCGCAAAAAAAAGAGCCGAAGCACCCCGCCACAAGCUCCGCGUCCAUGCCAACCCAAAUCCUGGGAUCGGGCCUGAUCCCAGGAUUUGGGUUGGCAUCGAUGUCGAGCCUGUCGCGGGGCGCUCCGCCUCUUUUCUUUGCGCCAGCCUUUUUCUCCGCUCCAAUCUGGCAGCGAGCGUUACCUGGAGCUCUACAAAUCAGUAAGUCUCGUAAACUGCUCAACUAUACCAGCUCUACUCAAGUAACUCGGUUGAUUUCUUUGGCAGCUAGACAUAAAGAUCGGUUUCUUUUCUCUUCACACACAACAAUAUUCUAUAAUAAAUAUAGAGCUUGUUUAUUUAUUUUAAUUCUCCAUGACACCUGAAUACUUAGAUAAAACUGAAUUGAUAAAAAGUAAAUGUUUAAAAAUAAAAUGCAUGUGAAUGCCAAGCUGGGUCACUAGGGACAAAAAUCACAAUCUUCAAACCUGAAAGCACGGUGAGUAUGAAGUUAGGAAAAAAAGUAUGUCAAGUUACUUCAACCAUUUGUUCAAUCAUACACGGCUAAAUCGGACUAACUAAAUCAUGCAUGCAGUCAAGCUAUCUCACUAUAUAUAUUCCAACUUGCAGGUUCGAGUGGUAUGCACAUCCCAAAAUUAUCUGCUCAUACACAACACAAUUCUACUCAUAUCUCACACAAGUUUUUGUUCAUACAGAUCACGGUUUUCCAACGAAUCCCUUCCAGAACGACAGGUUCGCUUCCGCUAACUCCCAGUAUGAAAAUCCAGAGAUGUGUCCACCUCCUAAUUAUCCAAUAAAUUUGUCUUCGCAACCACAUAUGUCCAAACAAUUUGAUUCUAGUGGAUAUUGUGACUAUGGUUAUGCUCUAAGUAUGCAACACAAUGCUACCGAUGGCCAAAACGACGACGAUGAUGAAGAUAGCCGAGGCUGGUGUCUAGCUUCGACCGAGGAGGACAACAUCAGACUGGUGACUAGUCAUCAAGUAUUUUUAUUGUUAUAGUUUUUAAACAUGUGAAAAUAAGUUUUAUUUAUCACAAAGCCAUUGGUAAUAAAAUCUUAUUAAUAUAAGCGCUUCAUUAAAAAAAUAUCUAUUCCAGACUUUUUUAUUUUAGGAACAAGUAGAAAGACAAUGAAUGCUAUCGCUCAUUCGCACUUGAUUAAGUAAUUCCAUCGAUUCAAUAUUUAGAACAUUUUUUCCUUCAAGUAAAUAGUAGACAUAUAUUUUUUUCUCGUUCUAGUAACUUGUACACACACAUAUUUUUAACGAACUUGUAGAAAUAUAAUCAAUUUUCACCCACAUUAACGCUUGGUAGAAUAACUCCAUUAUUUCCAUAUUUAAGAAUUUCAGUUUUUUUAUUCCAGAUAAUUUCUUGGUUGAAUAACUCCAUAGACUCCAUUGAUGGAAAUAAAAAAAGGGAGAGGUGUACUGGAGGAAUGUAACGGAUGACUACAACAAAAACAGUUCGUCCACCGGAGAGAAACAACAAAAACUGCAAGGACCAUUGGGGUAAAACUAAUAAGAAAGUUGGUGUUUUCAUUGAGUUUAUUGCAGGCUAAAAGAUGCCCAUGCGAGAGGGCAAUGUGACUUGCAGCUUGUCCAGAAAGCCCUAGCCAUGUACAAGGGGAUAGGACAAAACUUUAAACUAUUGUACUGGUGGGAGAAGGUUGGAGUACACCAAAAGUUGAGUAGACACUCCGAGGAGGAAAAAGGCAAAGGUAAUGCUUACAUACAAACUCAGAUGGGAAAAGAAACUCGCCCGAUCGAACCAAACUGGUGAAAGGAAAAGAGAAAGAAAAGGUCGAAGAUGACGACUCUUUCGUAACACUUACACACGAUGAUGUUCAAUUAUACCAUGACACACAAGCAUUACGAGUAUCGUCGCAAGAAAAAAUGGCAGAGGUACAGCUUCGACUCUCCAAAGAGAAGCUUGAGAUUGGCAAGACAAGAGAGAAGAUCAAAAUGUCUAGUACCUAUAAGGAACUCAUAAUGGUCGGUACCUCUCAUAUGGAUGAAUAUCAAAAGAGUGAACAUCAAUGGACACUAAAAAAAUUUAGUGACCAACUAUUUGGAGGAAACUAAAACAAUCAUAAAUCAUUUUAGCAUAUUAUUUUGAUUUUUUAAUGUGUCACUUUAAUUACCUUUUCCAUUUACUUUAUUGUGUAGAAAAAAUGGUUUACUUUGUUACAUACAUUGGUACUAGAAUACCUAUGUAUCAUGUAAUUUGAGAUUUUUUUAUUCAAUAAUACAGGUUCUCUACCAGUCAAAGCAACAAUGACCACUCAAUUAUUCAUGCAUUAGUAGUAAUUAAUAAUUCAACAUUUACUUGAACCUAUAAAUACUCUACUCUGUUGCACAUUUCACCCCACAUGCAGUAGCCCAAUUUAGUUCCAACUAAUGGAUAUAGGCAAUGCCAACAUCGGAGUCAUACACUUACAAUGAGCAAAGAGAAUAGUCUAUGCCGGUAAGUCAUUUAUUCAAUUAUCAAUAGUUACUAUAUCACAAAAAGGUUGGCCUAACACCAUUUUAUGAAUUGGGCAGGUAAAUGCUUGGUUAAAUGUUCCCACUGAUUUUGUUGUUGUCAACGAAAAUGGUGCCCGGGAUUACUGGUUUCAAGUCGCUGGAGAAUUUAACGCAAUUAUUGCCGAUAAUCGCGGAACACAACCUAUCCAAAUCAAACGUCAUUGGGGUAAGAUGAACUCUGAAAUUCUGCUAUUUGAUGGCAUGUGAUGAACUCUGAAAUUCUACUAUUUGAUGGCAUGUGGCGCAGGGUCAACGAUGCAUUCACCGCUACUGGACAAUCUAACCAGGACUUGAUUUCAAAUCUCUUCAAAUGUAUAAGUUAGAAAUGAAUCGACCAUUCAAAUUUCUUAACUUGUGGAUGUCUGUAUGAAAUUGUCCCCAGUGGAAGAAGACGUACUGUCAAGUCAAAUUAGUACUAUAGCAUUAGUGCGUCAAAGUUCAGUUUUGUUCUAAUAAAACAGAGGUUCUAUUUUUCCUAAUGAUGCCAUAAACUAUAAGUGGGAUAAUUUUGAUUAAUUUUCUUGUUUAUGUAUAUUUGCAUCUAGUGUGCAAUUGUGAAAUUAUCACUGCAAUACUAGAUAAGAAAGUGACAUCCUAAUUCUGAACUAUAGUCCCUAAUUUCCUUUUGUUACUAUCUAAAAUUAAAGAUCAGUCAUUUGAAACAUGUCAAAACUUUAGACCACCAUCUCUUGUUCUUCGGCAAUACCAUAAAUUUCCUUCAUAGAACUAUUGUUGUAUCAAUUCGACAAGAAAAGGCACAAACAUAUCACAGCUAAUUCACCAGGGAUUAUUAGAGCGACG